CACCACUUCUCUGGGCAACCUGUGCCUGUGCCUUGCCACCCUUGUCGUAAAAAAACCUUUCUCCUUAUAUCCAGCCUAAAUUUCCCCUCUUUUGGUUGGAAACCAUUUCGCCUUGUCCUGUCACAACACACCCAGAUGGUCGCUGCCUUGUGCUACGACCUCCUUAGCUGUGCCUGGGAGGUGUCCAUGAAACGGUCCACUGGUCCAGUCCAAAAUGGAGCCAAAAACAUCCUAAAAAUGAAACCCUUUGGGCGGAGAGCUCUCAUGCUUUGGAACGAUUCCAGCACAGAUACAUUCUACGAGUGACUUUACAGGAGAAUCCACAACCCUUUCUGUAUCAACCGAUACCCUCCUUGAAGCUAUUUUGGAAGCACAUCCAAGCCUUCAGGGCUACAUUAUCACGUCCAGCUUUGCAAAUAUGUAAGCUCACAUAAAGCACCAUCACGGGUGUUUCACACUCAAAGUAAGAACCUGUUCAAGAUGUCCGUGCAGUUUCUCAAUGAAUAGCCCAGCACCUUUUUGGAUGAAAUACUCGCCUGGAUCUCCUUGGAGCCAACGCUGCUAGUCAGGCUGUCAGUGUCACACAUGUAUUUAAUUGCUUUGCUGGGUUGAGGCCCUGCAGAAUCAGCGCGAAGAAUGCGAAGGGAACAACGGCACUUCGCGCUUAAUGUGGGGGGAUUUUGAGUGUUAUUAAUUAUUUUUCGUUUUGCUGGUUAGCAUGGAGAGACAGAGGGCUGAAACACAUCCAGGCAGAAAUCAGCCACAGUUAUUAGUGCCUCAAGUCUUUGUCUUGUAGGCUUCAAGCUGGUUAAAACAACAGAAAAGGAAAAAAGAAAAGCAAGACAUUUUUCAGAUGGAGGCCCCCAAGAAAUGCUGGUUUUGAUGGUGCCUCUUGCUGGGGAUUGAGCGCACCAGGCCAUCGUCUCUGCGUGCCUCAGGUGGUAGAAAUACACUGGCUGCUCUGAAGUCACCUGGGAGAAAGCAAAGAAGAGGAAUAGCUCACUAUCUCCCUGUGAUGGAUUACUAACCCAUCCCUGGGAUAUUCCGGAGAGAACAGACAUGCAGCCCAUGCUGAGGAUGAAUUACUGGAUCCAAUUAUAACGGGAGGAAUUAAAAAAAGGAGAACCCCUCUGGAUAAUCAGCACCAGCUGCCCCACACAGGGUACCCUAUCCUCCAGGCAAGCCACAGCUGUGAUUCAUGCCACGUCCCAUGUUGUUGCCUGCCCUUAGAGCCUAAACAAUAUGACGUGUUCUGCCUCAGUAUGUGCAUAAUUCUUCCUUACGCGUGAG
ensembl:lncRNA